UACAGAGGGUGCAAGCGUUAAUCGGAAUUACUGGGCGUAAAGGGUGCGCAGGCGGUCUCGUAAGCUGGGUGUGAAAGCCCCGGGCUUAACCUGGGAAUGGCAUUCAGGACUGUGAGGCUUUGAGUGUGGCAGAGGGAGGUGGAAUUCCACGUGUAGCAGUGAAAUGCGUAGAGAUGUGGAGGAACACCGAUGGCGAAGGCAGCCUCCUGGGCCAGCACUGACGCUCAUGCACGAAAGCGUGGGGAGCAAACAGG
rnacentral:rRNA from 1 species